GAGAAAGUUUGAAAGAGAGAAAAAAGUGAUAGAAUUUGGUGGUGGUGGCCUUUCAGCUGUGAUUUAGCUGUCUCUCUCUCUCCUCUCUUUCUCACACGCUCCCCCAAAAUCCCUAGAAAAAUCCCUCCUCAUUUUCUCUCUCCCCAAACACCCAACCCAAAUCUCCUGCUCUCUCCUCAGAUCUCCCUCCCAUUAGAGCAUUUCCAACCAUUCUUCCUAAAAUGACUCCUCAAAGUAUACAGAGCAGCAUUUAUGGGCUAUUGCUAUUGAUUUUUGUGGCUGAAUGGUUAGUAAAUACACGUGUUCUAAGGGCUGCAGCACGAUAUUAAAGUGGCGAGGGUUUGGGAGUAAUUAAACAAGAAAUAAUGAAAGCGCAAGGGCUGUUCUGGGAAACAGUCUUUUGCAAGUCUAUCCUCCAUGAAUUUCCAGUCUUUUGCAAGUCUAUCCUCUCUGAAUAUGCAGUCAAGAUGCAUCUGGAGAAACCCACUUACAACACAACUCGGUCAGUGGGGUUGCUGCCACUUCGUGUAUCUGCUUUGGUAUUCAAUAGUGUUACUUACACUGGCGAGGCAGGCAAAAACAAGGAGGCUGAACAGUUGGCAGCAUGGAAAGUUAUCCUGUCAAUUUUGGAUACUUCCGACUCAAGAACUGUCAUCACUGAGAUCAUCAAGUCUAUAGUGAAGGUUAAUGAAGGAGACUCCACCCAGAGUGGCAUUAAUCCUGUGGCAGAGAGCACUACAGGAACUAUUGUUUUUGUGUCUCCAGCGCAAGCCCUCGAACAACCCCUGGAUGUUGGUUCAAGUUCUACCAAAAAACGACGUAAGAAGGCUAAAAAGAAAUCUCGGGACGAUGCUCAGUGAGUAAUGUCUUUUAUUGAUCAAAACAUUUUUUUUUACCAAGGUCAUUAUUUCGGUUUAUGAUCCUUUGGUAUGAUGUUCCAACUUAUAUUUGAGCUUUUGAGUUUCAUUGUCAUGUUUAGCGACUUCUAUGACCCCUGCUGCAUCUUCUGUGCUCAUUUUGCAUUUGCAUAUGGUUUCACAAUUGUAGCAUUUGGUAUGAUGGAAAAUGUUUUCCAUUACGGAAAACAAGUUUAUUUGGACGGAAAACUGUUUUUCAUUUUUGAAAGAUGGAAAACGUUUUUUGGACCAUUACAAACACUAUUCUACACCAUACCACCCCACCCCUACACCACCUCUGCCACUGCCACACCUCCACCACUACCUCUGCAAAUACAAAAUGAGCACAGAAGAUGCAGCAGGGGUCACAGAAGUCGCCAAACAUGACAGUGGAACUCAAAAGCACAAAUAUAAGUUGGAACAUUAUACCAGAGGAUCAUAAACCGAAAUAAUGACAUUGGUAAAAAAAAAUGUUUUGAUCAAUAAAAGACAUUACUCACUGAGCAUCGUCCUGAGAUUUCUUUUUAGCCUUCUUACGUCGUUUUUUGGUAGAACUUGAACCAACAUCGAGGGAUCUCCACCACCACUAGUACAUUAGUUUUGAGGACGCAACCAAACAUAAAAAAAAUAUUUUCAGUUGAAACAAAUGGAGCAAUAGUUUUUGCACUACCGUUGCCAGUUGCUGUGGUGGCUUAAAGUCAAAUUCCUUCUUGUUCAGUUUCAAGUUGCUGUGCAAUGUUGCUUUGAAUGAAGACCAUCCCUUGUCUUAAGUGUACUAUUUCUUGUUUUUUUUUUUGAACCGUACUUUUUCUUGUUGGAUGUUGAAUUUUUUUCCAGUAAUAUAUCAGAUAUGUAUCAGAUAUUUGAGACAAAUCUUACAUUAUCGAUUAAUGUGUUGUUGGUCAUCUGUUGUAGUUUAA